rnacentral:rRNA from 1 species
CCUACGGGAGGCUGCAGUGAGGAAUAUUGGUCAAUGGACGAGAGUCUGAACCAGCCAAGUAGCGUGAAGGAUGACUGCCCUCUGGGUUGUAAACUUCUUUUAUAAAGGAAUAAAACGAGGCACGUGUGCAUUUUUGCAUGUACUUUAUGAAUAAGGAUCGGCUAACUCAGUGCCAGCAGCCGCGGUAAUACGGAGGAUCCGAGCGUUAUCCGGAUUUAUUGGGGUUAAAGGGAGCGUAGAUGGGUUGUUAAGUCAGUUGUGAAAGUUUGGGGCUCAACCGUAAAAUUGCAAUUGAUACUGGCAGACUUGAGUACAUUUGAGGAAAGUGGAAUUCGUGGUGUAGCGGUGAAAUGCGUAGAUAUCACGAAGAACCCC